GGUCAGCUGACACAUCCCUGCCAAUCUCCGGCAGACCCUCCCUCCCAGAUCCUCCUACUUCCUGGACAGCAUCCAUGUUGAAGGCAGCUUCAACAUGGAUGCUGUUCAGGAGGUGGGAGGGUCUGGGAGGGAGGGUCUGCUGGAGAUUGGCAGGGAUGUGUCAGCUG
rnacentral:miRNA from 1 species